rnacentral:rRNA from 1 species
GACAGAGGGGGCAAGCGUUGCUCGGAAUUACUGGGCGUAAAGCGUGCGCAGGCGGUUUUGUAAGCCAGAUGUGAAAUCCCCGGGCUUAACCUGGGAAUGGCAUUUGGGACUGCAAGGCUCGAGUGCGGCAGAGGAGACUGGAAUUCCUGGUGUAGCAGUGAAAUGCGUAGAUAUCAGGAGGAACACCGAUGGCGAAGGCAGGUCUCUGGGCUGACACUGACGCUCAUGCACGAAAGCGUGGGGAGCAAACAGG